CGCCGGGAGGUCGGCCCGGGACGAGGCCGGGGCAGGAGCCUCCGCGGGGAGAAACCCCGCUGGAAAAUGAAGGGAAGACUUUGCCAAACCGUCCCAGACAGAGGUUGGAAAUCACUGAAGCCUUCAUACAGAUGAGUAACAUGAAGCAGAGCGGCACAUCAAGACUCUUCAAGGAGGAAUGGAUCAGAGCAAGGAGAGUCUCAGGUUCUGGGCAAACAACACAUCUUUUCAAAAUAUGAGACUCCAUAUUACACGAGAAAGAUGACCCACAGCAGAGGUGCCCUUAAGAGGACAGCUAACCUGGUUCGGAAUCGCUGCUGUCUGAAGAACUCGACUCGCUGCUGCUGCUGCUGCUGCUGCUGCUGCCAGAGCCCGAGGAGCUGCUGCUGCUGCUGCUGCUGCUGCUCUCGCUCAGUCGGGAAACACUUCCAACUACUUUUGUUGGUUGUGCUUUCUCAGCUACAAAAUUUGGGAAUAGGAGUAAAUGUUUAGUAUAGCAACCAAGCUAUCCUCACAUCCCACAUGAGGAUGCAUGCCUGGGGGUUCAAUUCCCAGUUCUUGCCCUUGAUGCCAGCUUCCUGCCAGUGCAGACCCUGCACGGCAGCACUUAUCACUCAAGUCAUGGCAUCUUCACCACUCACAUGGGAGACCAGACUGAGUUCCUGGCUGCUGGCUCCAGUCCUGCCCCAGCCUCUGCCAUUGUGGGCAUCUGGGGAGUGACCAGCAGGUGGAAUCUCCGUCUCUCUCUUUCUCCCCAUUUUCUCCCUUUUCUCAAAUAAAUAACGUUUUUAAAAUUUUGUUAUUACAAAACAAGAAAUACAUUAAAACGUCAACAACAGUCACAAGAACAACUGAAAGACAGACACCUACAUUUUAUUUGUCGUUUUCUAGAAUUUAACUGAUUGUUGACAUCCAGUAAUCGUCUUUCCAAUUCCUGUUUUUUCUGUAAUUGGAGUUCUUCUUUGGAUUUCAUUGUUUUUUUGGCUGUGUGAUUUAAGAGGAAACAACGUGAGCACUGGCAAAAAUUAACACAAACAUCAGUGUUAAUUAGUACACAGAAAUACAUACCAUGAGAUUUUAGUGGUCUUUUUCUCAGACAUGCCGCAACAUAUUUUUCCAGUUCUCUUAAUGUUGACGCUUUCAGUGUUUCAAAAUCUAUCUCUAUCUCAUCAGGAUUGGAAUCUCUCAGAGAAGGCUCUCUUGAUUGUAUUAUGUGAACUACUCGGCCAAGCUUAUCUCCAGGGAGUUUAUUUAUAUCCAAACUUAAUUGUCUUUUCUCGUCAUAGUUCAUAGGUUUGGAGUUACCUUCAUCCUCAGAUUUCACAGCAGAGACCUGUUGGUUCCU